rnacentral:misc_RNA from 1 species
AAAAAAAAAAAAAAUUAGAACAAAAACAAAAUUUACACUGGAAAGAUACUUCAGUCCCCGAUGCUUUCAACUUCUAAAUCCAAAAACCUCAUUUAAUAUUUUCUAUUCAUGAAGCCAUUGGUGUUCCACUUGCAGUCUGUUUAGCCACAUAAAUCUGCUUCAUCUUUGAAGAAGGAAAGCUCUUUUCUGCACCCAAAGAUUGAUUCCUUC